rnacentral:rRNA from 1 species
GACGAACGCUGGCGGCGUGCUUAACACAUGCAAGUCGAACGAAGUGGCGAACGGGUGAGUAACGCGUAAUCAACCUGCCCUUCAGAGGGGGACAACAGUUGGAAACGACUGCUAAUACCGCAUACUGAAGGAGGGGAUUGCGUCUGAUUAGCUAGUUGGAGGGGUAACGGGUCACCAAGGCCACGAUGCAUAGCCGACCUGAGAGGGUGAUCGGCCACACUGGGACUGAGACACGGCCCAGACUCCUACGGGAGGCAGCAGUGGGGAAUUUGGGACAAUGGGCGCAAGCCUGAUCCAGCCAUGCCGCGUGUCUGAAGAAGGCCUUCGGGUUGUAAAGGACUUUUGUCAGGGAAGCGGUACCUGAAGAAUAAGCACCGGCUAACUACGUGCCAGCAGCCGCGGUAAUAC